AUGCAGGUUCUUACAGAAAAGAAUUCCCUACUGUCCCAGGAGCUGGAAGAGUGCAAAGCCCAACUUGAGGCCGCACUAGCCGCGGCAGGGGAGUCCAAGGAGACCCCCUCUGAUGGCGCCGGAUUGAAUCUGGAAAGGCAACAACUCCUACGCCAGCUGAAGGCUGGUGAGAAGGUGUUGACAAAGGUGAGGCGGGAGAAGAACGAUCUCCAAGAUGCCAACACCAAGCUGGGCGUCAACCUGAAAGAUGUUCGUGCCCAGCUGUCAGACUCCGUUAAGGAGAAUCAGCGGCUUCGGCGCGGCAUAUUUAGUGUGCUAACAGGUCGUCCUGCAGAGGAGAUGCCCGGUUCUACGGGUGACCUCCUUCCCGAGCUCUCGCAACUGCUCGAGCGAGUUCGGCAGGCGAUGCAAGGCGUCGCCCAUGCCUUGUGGCCAUCCAUCUCCAUGCCCGAAGGUCUUGGAGAGCUUGCGGAGAAGUUAAAGGGAGCACGGUGGCGCUUCUGA
rnacentral:rRNA from 1 species